GAAAAAAUGACGAGGAUGACAGCAGUAUUUCAUGCCGCCCCCACAUAACUGCGUGAGAGCGGCUCUCUUUU
rnacentral:sRNA from 2 species